CAGCAGCCGCGGUAAUACGUAGGGUGCAAGCGUUAAUCGGAAUUACUGGGCGUAAAGCGUGCGCAGGCGGUCCGCUAAGACAGAUGUGAAAUCCCCGGGCUUAACCUGGGAACUGCGUUUGUGACUGGCGGGCUAGAGUAUGGCAGAGGGGGGUAGAAUUCCACGUGUAGCAGUGAAAUGCGUAGAGAUGUGGAGGAAUACCGAUGGCGAAGGCAAUCCCCUGGACCUGUACUGACGCUCAUGCACGAAAGCGUGGGGAGCAAACAGGAUUAGAUACCCCUGUAGUCCCUGUCUCUUAUAC
rnacentral:rRNA from 1 species